GGUUAAGCGACUAAGCGUACACGGUGGAUGCCCUGGCAGUCAGAGGCGAUGAAGGACGUGCUAAUCUGCGAAAAGCGUCGGUAAGGUGAUAUGAACCGUUAUAGCCGGCGAUGUCCGAAUGGGGAAACCCAGUGCAAUUCGUUGCACUAUCGUUAACUGAAUACAUAGGUUAACGAGGCGAACCGGGGGAACUGAAACAUCUAAGUACCCCGAGGAAAAGAAAUCAACCGAGAUUCCCCCAGUAGCGGCGAGCGAACGGGGAGCAGCCCGGAGUCUGAAUCAGCUUGUGUGUUAGUGGAAGCGUCUGGAAAGUCGCAGGGUACAGGGUGAUACUCCCGUACACUAAAACGCACAGGCUGUGAACUCGAAGAGUAGGGCGGGACACGUGGUAUCCUGUCUGAAUAUGGGGGGACCAUCCUCCAAGGCUAAAUACUCCUGACUGACCGAUAGUGAACCAGUACCGUGAGGGAAAGGCGAAAAGAACCCCGGCGAGGGGAGUGAAAAAGAACCUGAAACCGUGUACGUACAAGCAGUAGGAGCCCACUAGUUGGGUGACUGCGUACCUUUUGUAUAAUGGGUCAGCGACUUAUAUUCUGUAGCAAGGUUAACCGUAUAGGGGAGCCGCAGGGAAACCGAGUCUUAACUGGGCGUUAAGUUGCAGGGUAUAGACCCGAAACCCGGUGAUCUAGCCAUGGGCAGGUUGAAGGUUGGGUAACACUAACUGGAGGACCGAACCGACUAAUGUUGAAAAAUUAGCGGAUGACUUGUGGCUGGGGGUGAAAGGCCAAUCAAACCGGGAGAUAGCUGGUUCUCCCCGAAAGCUAUUUAGGUAGCGCCUCGUGAACUCAUCUUCGGGGGUAGAGCACUGUUUCGGCUAGGGGGUCAUCCCGACUUACCAACCCGAUGCAAACUACGAAUACCGAAGAAUGUUAUCACGGGAGACACACGGCGGGUGCUAACGUCCGUCGUGAAGAGGGAAACAACCCAGACCGCCAGCUAAGGUCCCAAAGUCAUGGUUAAGUGGGAAACGAUGUGGGAAGGCCCAGACAGCCAGGAUGUUGGCUUAGAAGCAGCCAUCAUUUAAAGAAAGCGUAAUAGCUCACUGGUCGAGUCGGCCUGCGCGGAAGAUGUAACGGGGCUAAACCAUGCACCGAAGCUGCGGCAGCGACACUAUGUGUUGUUGGGUAGGGGAGCGUUCUGUAAGCCGUUGAAGGUGGCCUGUGAGGGUUGCUGGAGGUAUCAGAAGUGCGAAUGCUGACAUAAGUAACGAUAAUGCGGGUGAAAAACCCGCACGCCGGAAGACCAAGGGUUCCUGUCCAACGUUAAUCGGGGCAGGGUGAGUCGACCCCUAAGGCGAGGCCGAAAGGCGUAGUCGAUGGGAAACAGGUUAAUAUUCCUGUACUCGGUGUUACUGCGAAGGGGGGACGGAGAAGGCUAUGUUGGCCGGGCGACGGUUGUCCCGGUUUAAGCAUGUAGGCGGAUGUUCCAGGUAAAUCCGGAACGUCACUAACGCUGAGGUGUGAUGACGAGGCACUACGGUGCUGAAGUGACAAAUGCCCUGCUUCCAGGAAAAGCCUCUAAGCAUCAGGUAACAUCAAAUCGUACCCCAAACCGACACAGGUGGUCAGGUAGAGAAUACCAAGGCGCUUGAGAGAACUCGGGUGAAGGAACUAGGCAAAAUGGUGCCGUAACUUCGGGAGAAGGCACGCUGAUGGUAGGUGAAGUGACUUGCUCAUGGAGCUGAAAUCAGUCGAAGAUACCAGCUGGCUGCAACUGUUUAUUAAAAACACAGCACUGUGCAAACACGAAAGUGGACGUAUACGGUGUGACGCCUGCCCGGUGCCGGAAGGUUAAUUGAUGGGGUUAUCCGUAAGGAGAAGCUCUUGAUCGAAGCCCCGGUAAACGGCGGCCGUAACUAUAACGGUCCUAAGGUAGCGAAAUUCCUUGUCGGGUAAGUUCCGACCUGCACGAAUGGCGUAAUGAUGGCCAGGCUGUCUCCACCCGAGACUCAGUGAAAUUGAACUCGCUGUGAAGAUGCAGUGUACCCGCGGCAAGACGGAAAGACCCCGUGAACCUUUACUAUAGCUUGACACUGAACACUGGUCCUUGAUGUGUAGGAUAGGUGGGAGGCUUUGAAGUGUGGACGCCAGUCUGCAUGGAGCCAUCCUUGAAAUACCACCCUUUAAUGGCUGGUGUUCUAACGUGGGCCCCUGAUCGGGGUUGCGGACAGUGUCUGGUGGGUAGUUUGACUGGGGCGGUCUCCUCCUAAAGAGUAACGGAGGAGCACGAAGGUCAGCUAAUCCUGGUCGGACAUCAGGAGGUUAGUGCAAUGGCAUAAGCUGGCUUGACUGCGAGCGUGACGGCGCGAGCAGGUGCGAAAGCAGGUCAUAGUGAUCCGGUGGUUCUGAAUGGAAGGGCCAUCGCUCAACGGAUAAAAGGUACUCCGGGGAUAACAGGCUGAUACCGCCCAAGAGUUCAUAUCGACGGCGGUGUUUGGCACCUCGAUGUCGGCUCAUCACAUCCUGGGGCUGAAGUAGGUCCCAAGGGUAUGGCUGUUCGCCAUUUAAAGUGGUACGCGAGCUGGGUUUAGAACGUCGUGAGACAGUUCGGUCCCUAUCUGCCGUGGGCGCUGGAGAAUUGAGGGGGGCUGCUCCUAGUACGAGAGGACCGGAGUGGACGCAUCACUGGUGUUCGGGUUGUCAUGCCAAUGGCAUUGCCCGGUAGCUAAAUGCGGAAGAGAUAAGUGCUGAAAGCAUCUAAGCACGAAACUUGCCCCGAGAUGAGUUCUCCCUGACUCCUUGAGAGUCCUGAAGGAACGUUGAAGACGACGACGUUGAUAGGCCGGGUGUGUAAGCGCAGCGAUGCGUUGAGCUAACCGGUACUAAUGAACCGUGAGGCUUAACCUU
rnacentral:rRNA from 1 species